rnacentral:tRNA from 1 species
GGGCGUAGUUCAAUGGUAGAACGGCGGCUUCCCAAGCCGCAAGCGAGGGUCCGAUUCCCUUCGCCC